CGCUCUGAUGGCCUAGUGGUUAGUGUCCGCCUCGGGUGCGGGAGGUCGUUGGUUCGAUCCCCAGUCGAGUCA